rnacentral:lncRNA from 12 species
GUUAUGGUCUUAUAUUUUAUUUGAGACCACUUUUUAAAUUUAGGGCAGGUGGGGAAUACCAUCUCAGUGAGGAGGGGAUCUCCUGGUUUAUUAUACACAUCCACUUUUGUUUCUGUCAGGAAGUACUGUUGGAACACUCUGGAAACUCUACAUGCGUGCAUUACUACUACAGCAUUGAGGAGGCUAGGGAUGCAGCAGGUGGCAUGGCUCUGCAGUGCAAACACCAAUAUCUUCUUUAGGGCUAUCAAUUCCAUUUGUGACAUGUAAAUCUCUGAGCAAUGACUCCUGGCAUCAGCUAGAAAUAUGCUCUCAAGGUCCUUGGUGAGAAAUAUGCCUUUCGAGGAGUUUUGAAAAGAUCAAGGGAGAAUCGUUUCUGUUAAUCAGUUACUUGAUUCUUUCACAAGGCAGUGAGACAAGAUGGUUAGAAUUCCAGGAGGCAGAAAUUACCCAAAGGGGUUUUCAAAACUAUCCCUUUUGUUUGCUAUGGUGAUGAAGACUAGUAACCGAAUAAGAUUCAUAUGGUUUCCUUAGCUCUAUGUUGCUGUUUUUUUUUUUUUUUUCUUUUCGGUGAAGUCCUCCCCCCUUCUCUGUUCUAGGGGAUUCAGUGGUUAUGAUCUGAUGACUACUUCUGAGGGAACAAUCAUCUGCAACCUUCAUGGAGGCCAGCAAUGACAUCCAAUUACAACAAAGAGGAGAUAUACUUAUUCUUUGAUAGAAAUAGUAUUUGUAUAUUAAUGUAUAUGUAUACAUAGCAUAUCCAUACAGAAAACAAGACAUAGGAACUUUGUGGACCAUCUCAUGCUUCAUCUGUGCCAUGCUACAAAUAAUUGGAUAGCAUUUUUUUGGAUGUUCUUUGAGCCAAGGAAGCAACUCUCAGAUGUCGACAGGAACCUGCGGCUCAGGUUGGGCAGUAGAGCCACUGAAGAAUGUUGUGAUUCAGCUCCUGCCAACUUAUGGUCUAAAGUAGAGACUGCAGCAAAGGGAACUGUGGGAACAUUAGAAUGCAGCACAAAGAAGUCUUUUUUGGACUUUUUUGGUGUAUUAAAACUUCUCUGCAGUUAAUAAAUGAGUUCAUGAAGUCAGAGAGGACACAGAGAUCUGGUGUGAAGUAGUGGAGCAGAGAUUCAAGACUUUCGGGUCUAGUCACAGCCUCAAUUAAACUCCCGGAGCCUUAGUUGAAGCACCUUGCUGGAAGGUCAUUUUCCCCUGCUGACAAUGGACAAGAGUCUGAAUACUGAAGAUUCAGCAGAUACUGCAUCUGGUAUGUGCUAAUUUACUGGAACUAUAUGAUCUGAUCUCAUCAAGAAACUUUGGGAUUUGUCACUAGGCUGAUUCUGAUAAGCUCAUUCCCUUCAGCAAGGCAAACGAGGAAGUCAUUUAUAUAAGCAGAGAUUCAUUUUGGACUGACCUGUUUCUCUGAGCUGAAGAUGAGGACCUGGAAGAUGCAAUUUCCACUGAACUCAGCUUGCUGAAUCAGAUGGUAGUGAAGCUGUGACUGGCACAUAGUAGGAAUUCAAGUCAGCCUUGUCAAAAUUAUUUCCUGCUGUUGAAUCUCCUCUAGAUCUGUUAAGAGUUUCUGACACUAAUAACAAAAUCUUUGAAUUUUGUAAAUAGUAAUUGUCUGUCUGAUUGCUUAUCUAUGUUACGUUUUCAGUUGGGGAAGUUGAAGAGAAGUCAAAGGACAUGAAGCCCCAGCCUACCAAUGUUUUAUUUGCAAGCACUCUGAAUUCAUAACUCAGUGAGACUUGAGUUUUAAAGUUGUUUAAAAAAUGUUUUGGGUUUAUAGGUGCAUUGAUUUUUGCCAUCUCUGCUCUGUCAAUGCCUGGGAUAACAAUAUAUUUUGUUUGUGGUACUCCAUUUCUUUAAUUCAGUUAAAAUGUUUUGUGAUUUGUAUCUUUUUCAUUUGCUGGAAUUUUUUUUAGAGUGUUUAUUUCUGUCACUUCUAUUUCUAGACUUUUAUUAUUUACUUAUAUUUUACUUUACAUAAUGAGACUGUCUAUAAAAAGUUAACCAUUUCAUGACAUAAAAAAAAAUCAUACGGAAAGAAAAUAUACUUCUACAG